CCCAGACUCCUACGGGAGGCAGCAGUGGGGAAUAUUGCACAAUGGGCGAAAGCCUGAUGCAGCGACGCCGCGUGAGUGAAGAAGUAUUUCGGUAUGUAAAGCUCUAUCAGCAGGGAAGAAAAUGACGGUACCUGACUAAGAAGCCCCGGCUAACUACGUGCCAGCAGCCGCGGUAAUACGUAGGGGGCAAGCGUUAUCCGGAUUUACUGGGUGUAAAGGGAGCGUAGACGGCGAAGCAAGUCUGAAGUGAAAACCCAGGGCUCAACCCUGGGACUGCUCUUGGAACUGCGUGGCUGGAGUGCAGGAGGGGCAGGCGGAAUUCCUGGUGUAGCGGUGAAAUGCGUAGAUAUCAGGAGGAACACCGGUGGCGAAGGCGGCCUGCUGGACUGCAACUGACGUUGAGGCCCGAAAGCGUGGGGAGCAAACAGGAUUAGAUACCCCAGUA
rnacentral:rRNA from 1 species